rnacentral:lncRNA from 1 species
AGCCCUGUGAGUCUGAUAAUCUCUCUCUGUGUCAGUUUCCUUAAUCUAACCUCAGCCAAUCAGCUUACUGAUGUGCAAAGCGAGUAGGUAGGACUAGUCAGUUUCUGAAUUCCCUUCCAAGACCAUGCUUCUAAUAAAUGCCAGCUGAAUUGAGCUAACUUCCUCACUGGACUGUGAAUUCCUCCAGAACUUGGAGCUUAGAUGUAUAGUUAUCAAACUCAACUGCCUAAUAGGAUCAGCUACACAUAGUGAGUUUUCAACCAAGCCUUAUUAACUCCGGCAGGAACAAUCUCUCCAGGUAGAUAUUACACAUGGGACCAAUUAUGAAAGGACACUAUUUGAAUCAAUGAGUAAGUCCAAUUUACAUCAGUAAAUCCCACGCCUAACCCGCUUCUGUUUGUAUCAAUUUGCUGUAAGAUUUCAACCACUUUAAAACAAUCUCCUCAUGGCUUGUGAAUGAGUCAGGGUUCCUGGAGGCCUGAGGCAUAAAUCAUGAUCAGAGCUGGUUGGUGAGUCACAUCCUUUGUGAAUAAUCACUCCCAAGCCGGGAAACAUACAGCCCCUCAACCUACACGCUGUUGAUCAGCAUCUCAUCUAGCUACUCACAGCCCAGGGUCAUAGGGACACAGGGCCUGGAGGCCAGAGCUGAGAUGAGAAGUUACAAGGCUGCAAGCAACGUUUUCCUUAUACACCAGCGGGCAUCAUGACAUUCCCUGGUCAAGAGCCAGGAGCUGUGCCAUGUUGUUGAAAUAUAGCUGCAGUCACGAUGCGAAGGUAAAAGGGACAAGGCUCCUGCUGCCAGUCAUCUGGAGUAUUCUUUUUCGCUUUUCUAAUGUUUGUGACCCGCUGUUGAGAUGUUGCUGACCUUGAAAUGCUAUCCCAUCAUGUCGGUGUUCCUUCUGCUUCUCGAGAGGACAGCAGUCAAAGCACAAACACUCUAUUAUUAAUAAAAGGGAGUGACUGACAGGUCA